ACAGACCCGUGGGGCUCGCGGGUAGCCGGGCCGGGGCCGUCCGUGUCCCGCGGGGCUCUGGGCGGCCGCCCGACCGAGGACCCACGACUCCGCCCUGACCCCGCCGUGUUCGCGAGACCCGGAGACCCCUUCGCGCCUUCCAGGACCGCCCCUUUCGCGACGCUGGGUGCUGUGCUUGGUCCUGGCGGCCAAGAGCGGCAGUGGCAAGGGGACCGCCCUGGCCCGAGACGCGGCCUGGCCUCGCAGCGUCGCUUGGGCACAGCCUCUCUAGGCCCCUUCUUCCUCGAUCGCGGAGGGACGCCAUUAAACGGCCACGCCGGGCUCAACUGGGACGCGGCCCACGGCGCCCAACCAGGGCCUGGGGGAGGGAAGCCGGGGCGGCGACUCCUGGGUCCUUCCAGGACCCUUGCGCAGGCCUCAUUCUCUCCCCGGAGGUCCCCUUCCCGCUGCCCUGAGGCCACUUUCCUGCCAGCAGCUGCUGGGCCGGCUCUCGGGAGAGUGCCUUGGCGUCAAGCUUAUCAGGCUGCAGGGUGGGACGCGAGUGCUGAGGGCAGCCAGACUCCCGCUCUUAGGUGCAGUUGAGGAGCCUGAGAAGGCAGUGGCUCUGCGGGAGAGGGAGACACAGGAGUAGGGCUGGUCAGCCGAGAUUCCGGAGAGACGGUUGUGGGCCGAUUCUGUGGCGAGAUUUACAAGUGAGAGGUUGGGUGACGAUUGCUCCUGGGCCAGAAAAUCUAAGCCAGUCUCGGCAAGACCUACAAGGCCAGGGCCAGUGCUCCUCAGAGGAUAUUCAUGCUCCAGGAAAGCCAAGGAUGGGCCUCCAUCAUGCUGAGAUGCUGCAGCAGGGACACCUGUGUCCCACGUGGAGCUCGGCUUCUAGCUGCAGUCAGGGCAGAAGCUGGCAGGAGGAGUUUACUGCUGUCCUCGGAAGCUUUUGUGCUUCCUGGCCUGAGGACACGGCUCUCACAUCCAGACAGACCUGAGCAGCUAACGCAAGUGCGCAGAAGCUCGCCAAGUGCCCAGAAGAGCCAAGAGGCGAGCCAUGAAUCCCCCCUGGAGGAGAAGAGGAUGGGGAGGGCCAAACAGAAAAGAACUGAAACUGGAGGCAUCUGUUCAGGCACCCAGAGAAAGCCUCACUUGCACAAAGCAGCAAACAGAACAAACCCCAGUGCCGUCAUGGAGCCCAGACUUGAGCACACAGGGACCUUGGCGUGGAGCACGAGGGUGCCAAGGCCCGCAGGUGGCCGACUUGUAUGCUCUGGUUCCAUGCUCAGAUUUGAUGGGAUGACCCUGCAAUUGCCUGCUUUGUGAGCCGCACAGGCCUGGGUCAAAAAGACGACGGACCACCAGCCUGGGCAACACACAUGGCGAGACCUGUCUCCACUUAAAAGAUAAUUAGGGUGUGGUGGUGUGUGCUUGUGGUCCCUGCUACUCGGGAGGCAGAGGCAGGGGCAUCACUUGAGCCCGGGAGGUUGAGGCUGCAGUGAGCUGGGAUGGCACAUGGCGCUCCAGCCUGGGUGACUGAGUCCGUCUCAAAAAAAGAAUGGGCGGCCGGACAGGUGAAAAUAACAAUGGAUGGGGCCCUGGGAGAAGUUCCCGCCUUUCUCUGGGCCACCAUCUCCAGGUUACUGGACUGCCAGCAGGUAGAGGGGCCAGGGUGCCAUCCGGGGGGCCGCUGAGGGGGUCCAGACUUCCUAUACCUGCCCUUCAGCAGAGGCAGGCUGGGGCAGUCCUCAUGUGAGGGGCUCUGCACCCACAUCCGGGGGGCCGCUGAGGGGGUCCAGCCUUCCUAUACCUGCCCUUCAGCAGAGGCAGGAUGGGGCGGUCCUCAUGUGAGGGGCUCUGCACCCACGUCUGGGGCUCUUGUUCCAGGGCAAGGGCAGAGCCGCUCCUCUCCAUCCUGCCGGGCAAGACUCCUUGGUGCUCUUCCGUCGGGCAGAACUGACCAAGACUCAGAACAUUCAAUGUCAGGAGCCAGCUGGGGACAGGAUCUGCCUUGGGAGACUUGGCAGGCCCAGUGACCAUCCCACUGCACAGUUGGGGGUGGGGGGCGACACCCCAGAGGGACACAUUCGGGCCUCCUGGGGGGUGCAGGCUUCUGGGCACGUCCACCAGGCAUGCACACCGGCCACCCCACCCUGCUCUCGCUCACCCACAAGGUCUCUGGCAGCCCUUCCGGAAAUGUUUCCAUUUCAUCCUGUGUCCUCCUGUCUCAAACUCCUUUGGGCUGGAGACCCCAGUGGGUCAUCGAGGUGGGGCCAGCUGGACUGUGGACAGCCCCACGUUUAAAAUCUAGCGUGGAAACUGAGGUGCUCCUAGACCACAGUGGGGUAUCAGGAGGAGGAAGCUGCUCCCCUUCCCCUCCCUGGCUCUGGCCUGGCAGUGUGGAGUGAGUUCCCCUCCCCACCUCCAGCUUCUCCCUCUAGGCAGAGAUGGGCCUUACUGGCACCACACAGACCCCUGGGUAGGUGGGAGAGCAGGCCUUUUUCCUGGGGGGAGGAACUUGGCCUUGGACACACCCACACCGCCCACGUCACUCCUCAGUUCUUUUUUUUUUUGAGACGGAGUCUCGCUCUGUUGCCCAGGCUGGAGUGCGGUGGCGUGAUCGCUGCUCACUGCAAGCUCCACCUCCCAGGUUCACGCCAUUCUCAUGCCUCAGCCUCCCAAGUAGCUGGGACUACAGGUGCCCGCCACCACGCCCGGCUAAUUUUUUUGUAUUUUUAGUAGAGACAGGGUUUCACCGUGUUAGCCAGGAUGGUCUCGAUUUCCUGACCUUGUGAUCCGCCUGCCUGGGCCUCCCAAAGUGCUGGGAUUACAGGCGUGAGCCACCGCACCCGGCCUGUCACUCCUCAGUUCUAACUCAUGAAGCAACCAGGGUUCUUGGGCCCUGUGACCUGGAACCAUUCUGCUGCAACUGCACUGAGGGUUCAAGGACUCCUCACUGUAGGCCACGCCUGGUCCUCUUCUGGUCACCAGCCCGCAAGCAGCAGCUGGGCUGAGGGGACUGGCAGACCUGGGUCCUCAGCUUCCCUGGGCCUUGGUUUCUCCAUCUGCAUCUGAGAGUGACAGGCAGGCGGGCAUCUCAUGCGGGGGGCGGGAGAGCGAGAGCCGCAGAUGCACAGUCCGCUUCCUGGAUGCUGGACCAGGUGGUCCAGUUUUCAAGGCUUGUGUUUUUGGGGGACUCUUGAUCAGAUGGGACCACUCCCCGCAGGCCAUUCUUUGUGGCUGCAGUGGCACUGAGCUCUCUCAGACUCCCUGGCUGCCCAUGACCUCGGGAGCCCACUUCCGUCGGGACCUGCCUCCUCACCUUCCCGUGCCUGUGGUGCUGGUACUGUGUCUGCCCCCUCUUCUGGGGGAUGUCCUCCCACCACCCUGCACAUCACUGCCCUUUUAAAUUCUUUCUGAAAUGGGGUCUCGCUGUCGCCCAGGCUGGAGUGCAGCGGUGUGAUCACAGCUCACUGUAACCUCCGUCUCCUGGACUCAAGCAAUUCUCCCACCUCAGCCUCCCAAGGAACUGGGACUAUAGGUGCGCACCACCAUGCCUGGUUAAUUUUUUAUUUUUUAGAGAUGGGGCCUUGCUAUGUUGCCCAGGCUGGUCUUGAACUCCCGGAUUCAAGCGAUCUUUGUGCCUUGGCCUCCCAAAGUGCUGAGAUUAUGGCGUGAGCCUCUGCGCCCUGCCCCCCACUCUUCUCUUAAUCCCGGGGACGUUUUGACGGCUCUCCCGACAUGAGACGUACAUCCCCAGAGGCGUGUGACCCAGAGCCGUGAUGCCCACACAGCCCUGUGCUGCCCAAUUUGCCCCGCCCCCCUGCCCUCCUCCUGAGGCCCACACAGCCCUGUGCUGCCCCCUUUGCCCCGCCCCACCUGCCCCACCUUGAUGCUGUCUCAGCAGCUCGUCAGGAUCCAGAACCUGGCUGGAAAGCUGCCAGGCUCCACUGGGCCUGGAGGUGCAAUCCUACGGCCUUGGAAGGGUCUUAGUCUGACCAAGCUGCAGAGCCAGGCAGGUCUGCUGGGUUCUGAGCUCAGACAACUGAUGGCCUCGGACGCCUUGAGGGAAGCUGGGCCAGGCCCAGAAGACUCCCAGCCCACCCUGUGGCCCCCCUGGAGGAAGAAGCCGGCCUCUGCGUGUGCAGUAACAGCUUUAAUCUGUGGUGGCCCCUGCCCUCCUGCAUCCAGGCAGGAAGAGCCAUUUCUCGGGGAAUUAAAGCAGGAGCGUUUCCCACACUGUCUCCUGGGAGUCCAUGCUUACAGUGACAGCACUGCUGAGUGGUGCCAUGUCACCAGGGCUGGGCCUGGGCACAGAGAGGCAGGGUGCCAGUCUUUAUAUAUUAUACAUAUAUAUAUAUAUUUCAUGUGUAUACACAGUUUUCUCUUGAAAGUAUUAAAAAAUUGAUCAACCUUCAA